GACAUUAGUUCAACGGCCGCGGUAUCCUAACCGUGCAAAGGUAGCAUAAUCAUUUGCCUUAUUAAUUGUAGGGUAGAAUGAAUGGAAAAACCAAAUAAAUACUGUCUCUAUUAUUUAUAUAUAAAUUAUUUUCUACUUGAAGAAAUGUAAAUAAAUUCAUAGGACAAGAAGACCCUAUAGAGCUUUAUUUAAAAACAAAUGAUAAUUGUUAUAAAAUUCGGUUGGGGCGACCUAGGGAGCAUAACUCACCCUAUAAAUAUAAGAUAUAUAAAUCUAACAACUGACCCUAAUAAGAUCAAAAAAUCAAGUUACCUUAGGGAUAACAGGCUAAUCCUAUUAUAGAGUCCUUAUCGACAAUAGGGCUUGGCACCUCGAUGUUGGCUUAGGGUAUCUAUAUAGCGCAAAAGCUAUAUAAAGAUGGUUUGUUCAACCAAUAAUUCCCU
rnacentral:rRNA from 1 species